UGUAGGAGCCGGCUUGCUGGCGAUGGUGUGUCAGCUAAAUGGAUGUCGACUGACACACCACCGCCAGCAAGCCGGCUCCCACA
rnacentral:misc_RNA from 1 species